UACGUAGGGGGCGAGCGUUAAUCGGAAUUACUGGGCGUAAAGCGCACGUAGGUGGCGACGUAAGUCGGGUGUGAAAGCCCCGGGCUCAACCUGGGAAUUGCAUUCGAGACUGCAUUGCUGGAGUACGGAAGAGGAGGGCGGAAUUCCCGGUGUAGCGGUGAAAUGCGUAGAUAUCGGGAGGAACAUCAGUGGCGAAGGCGGCCCUCUGGUCCAGUACUGACACUCAAGUGCGAAAGCGUGGGGAGCAAACAGG
rnacentral:rRNA from 1 species